AGAGGAACAUUGUCAAAACAGCAUACGGUAAAGUGUUUUGAGGAUAUAUUAGGCUACUCUGAAAUGAACUGUUGCGACAAAUGCGUUUACAAGAGAUGAGAAGCUGAUUGGAGGUCGCUGUAGAUCGACGUUUAAAACCACCAAUCACAGCGCGAUGUUCCCAUGACGUAAGAACAUUUGAACUCGACAAACAGCGCAAAUAAAGCAACGUUUCUGUUGAAGAAAUCGGCGCAGAAUGUCCGUUGUCUAAAUUGGCGACACAUUGGCCCAAAACAACAGAACUCCUGGUCAACGGAACUCUUUCACAACUACUCCAAACGGACUGUUUCAAGAUGAUUAACUUACCGAUGACACAAUAAAGUCUCCAUUUACAACCAAGAAUGGCAGUGAAUGGCCGUCUAUCAAGGCGCAUCCAUCCAUGAUAAAAGUAAUCCACCACAUGACUCUGGCGGGGUUAUAAAGCCCUUUUAAAGCGAAGCAUUUGUGCUAUGAGGAAAAACUCUACCGUGCACACAGAGAACAGAGCUCAAUGCUAACUGGGGGAGCAGCUGGACAACUAGAAGAGAGAAUAGUAGAACACUAUUAUUAAUACAGAUUCCUGGAUUAUUUUUUUAAAUAUGGCAAGAACCAAAACAAGCAAAGACUGAUGAUGAGUGCUCUGAGCAAACACUGGAGUCAAGACGCAUGAGUGACUUUACUGAGUUCUUCAUGUAAUGUUGGGCAUUUACUGUACGCAGAACUUCUAAUAAUUUAUGUGGAUGCCA